rnacentral:tRNA from 1 species
AAGCUAUUAAAUAACAUUUCUUUCUUAUAUUUUCAAAAUAUAUGCUUUAUAUAAUAUAAGCUAUAU